UGGCUCUGACCCAAGGUUGCCUAAGCUGUUC
rnacentral:piRNA from 1 species